UGAGACGAUAUCUGAAGUAGCUAUAAUAAACAGUUUGCUAGCUCUCAAUGUGUGGAAAAUGUAAUGAGACAGCAUAAAAUAUUUUUAUCGCCACUACUGGGUUUCGUGGCACUCGUAAAAAUCAACUAUGGUACUGCAUAUUUUAUAUAGACCGAACAACAUUGAUCUCUGAUAAACCUAAACCUUUGAAAGCGUAAUCUCCAGCCCACCUGCUAAGCCUGAAAAAUAUGGUGGACCCUUUUAUGCAGUAGAGAUGAUGUUGAUAGACAAACUUACAUUUUAUUUUCUUUAUUAAACUAUGCAUUUUAAAUAAAAUACAAGCAUAAACACAUCACCGCGUAAUAAAGUUAAUUGAAUGCGAUUUUAGUACAUAGUUCUCCAUUUAAAUUCCUACAUUUCCUACCACUUUUAGACGCUAUCUAGACUUCCUGUAUCACCUAGUGUUGCAUCACUAACCUUGACACAGAGGCUGCGUUAAUUUAUCGAUUUCAACUCCACCAUAUAACUCCCAAAUCGCCAUGCAUAUCUGCAUCGUAAUUCUAAAUUGAUUUAAUAAGCUGUAACGUUGUGUUGACCCGAAAUGCAACGUUUGUCGCGGAAACUACGGAAGCAGUGUUCCAAGUAUCAAGAUGGAGCAGUUACCUGAUCAUCGAGACCAUGAAAUGAGUCUUCGGUGUCCCGUGAAGGUAAGUUUUUGACAUUAAUUUGAUAUUUUGGUUAUUAAAUUCGCACUAUGCUGGCGUGCUAUGCGGCUAGCUGCAUGUGUCGAAUGUUCUCAUACCAAAGCACUAAUUAACAUUGGUGCUUCUGAUUUUGGUUUCACGGCCGUGUGGUUUACAAGCUAGAAGAAAAUCAUCACACAGCACAAUAACAGGCCGUGAAUGUGUAUUGGUGAACUAUAGGCUUCCUUUAAGAUUUGGCUUUGGGGCUUUGCUGCUGGGUAUCAAACUAACCAUUUAGAUAAGUUCAGCAUGGACUUUCUUCACGGGAUAAGGAAGGUUAUACCUACCUAUCUCUGGGUGGGUAUCAGGUAAAAAUGUAAGUAUUGGGUAGUUCCCUAGGUUAAAAAUAAAAUAUUUUGACAUUUUAAUAUAAAAAAAUAUCUUAAAAUAAUCGCACUUUCAUUCAUUAUCUUGACGAUAUACUUAUUUAUUAAAUUUUUCUAGCUAAUUUUAGAGAAGUAAGUAUGCUAUUUGACGCAAAAAAAAAAUAAGUGUGGGAGAGCCAUGCUUUAAGUGUGGGAGAGCCAUGCUUCGGCACGAAUGGGCCGGCUCGACCGGAGUGAUACCACGGCCUCACAGAAAACCGACCUGAAACAACGCUUGUGUGAGUUAAGUUACCGGAGGCCCAAUUCCCCCCUUCCCAAUCUUCCCCAUCCCCGAUUCCCGAACCCCCUUAAAUUCCUAACUCCCAAAAAGCCGGCAACGCACUUGUAACGCCUCUGGUGUUUCAUGCAUAAAGCUUACUCAAUAUUAUAAAUCUGAAAGGUUGGGUGAGUGAGUUUGUCUGUGUGUUUGUCAAUCAAUCACGUCAGAACGGCUGAAAGAAUCGGGUUGAAAUUUGGGACAGGGGUAGAUUAUUACAGGUAAGAUAGGGUUAUACGUAGGGCUGUAGGUUACCUAGUCGGAAAUAACACAUCUAUGGACUACUUUUUAUCUAACGGUAAUGUGGGCAAAAAUGCUGGCAAAAGCUAGUAUACAAUAAGUAAAUUCAAAAGGUAUUUAGUUUUUGGGCUAUUAUCAAUUUAUAUAUUUUGCGCUGACAGCGAAAAUUAAUACAGUUUAAUAUUUUAUAAUAUUGAAUACUUAAAUUAUCAACAUUCAAUAAUAUAUUUUUUAUAUUAUAUGUGAAUGUUGUAUUAAACUGUGUUACUUUACGCCAAGUUUACGCUGAAUAAGGGAAAUUAAUGCAGUUUGAUAUUUUGCAAUAUU